CAUUAAAUGACGUUUAAUUGAGGAACGAACGAACGAAUUUUGAUUUUUUUGAAUCGAUACUUAAUAAUAUUGAUGGAGAGAAAAUGUCAAAUUCUUGAUUAAUGUACAGAUCAUGACAUGAUAAGAAUUAUUUAAUGAUGAUUACCAACAUAUUCGAAACCUAUGAUGAUGAUGACAGAAAGAGUACAGAAUUACAAAUGAUAAUUAGUGAUUUCGGAUAAAGAAUUAAUACAUAUUCUAUACAUAUCUGACAUUAUUCGAUGUCCUAUCCUAUAAAUAUUUUAACAGGGUCUUAAUUAUGUAAAGAUAUCAUCAUAAAUAUAUCACUACAGGUCAAUCGAAGAACAAAACUGAAUAUCAUAGACUGCAAUUACAGAUAUCAAAGGAAUGCUAUUCCAAGUCUUAACGCCUCUUCGAAACCUCAUAAAAUUUCCCAUCUGCUUGUAAUUAUUCCGCACUCGUAUAAUCUACACAGGGAUCAACAACUCUCCAAGGAAGAAGAGGGGAAAAAUCAACCACCAAAGUAGCAUUCCGUCGCAUUUAACCUGUUAUUAAACUAUUAGUUUAUCAAGGACAUCGCCGGGUUGAUUUUUUUUGGGCAAAGUUUUGUUUGGUUUGUUGGUCGAAUGAAGAGGAAUGGCACACUCGACUAGUGUCAGAAAUGUGCGAGAAGCGUGUCGGAUGACUUAAUGAAAGGGUAAAAAUCAAUUAGUUGUGCAGUUAAAGUUAACCCGAAGAAAAAAAUAAUAAAAAAAUACAGUUGUGUGUUCUA